CGGGGUGUAGCGCAGUCUGGUAGCGCGCCUGCUUUGGGAGCAGGAUGUCGGGGGUUCAAAUCCCUCCUCCCCGACCA
rnacentral:tRNA from 21 species